GUGAGAAUUGUGUCCACACAUCGACAUUGUAUAACAUUUUGGUAAAAUUUGUACUUAAAGGACCACUCUAGGCACCCAGACCACUUCAGCUUAAUGAAGUGGUCUUGGUGCCAGGUCCCUCUAGGAUUAACCCUUUUUUUAAUAAACAUAGCAGUUUCAGAGAAACUGCUAUGUUUAUAAUAGGGUUAAUCCAGCCUCUAAAGCCUCU